UCCCUGGUGGUCCAGUGGUUGGGACUUUGCACUUCCAGUACAGAGGUGCAAAGGGUGUGGGUUCAAUCCCUGGUUGGGGAA
rnacentral:tRNA from 1 species